CAAUAGCCAUGUUCCUGACUUGAUACAGGACAUUUUAAGAAAAAAUGGUGGGUCUAUUACGUUUUAAAAUUCUAUGCUGUUCGACUGCGCCGACAUAAUUGAAUAGUAGGAGGAGCUGAAGACUUAACAUGAUUAUAUCUUGUUACAACGGGAUAUAUAAUAGAUUUGGUUUUACAAAGAAACAAAACCAAAUGCAAUUUGCUCAUUUUCAAAUACUUCUAGAAAUAGAAAUCAAUGGAUUCUAAUUUUACUGAUACCCAAGAAACCUAUGAAUAUACAGAAGAUCAUAUGGAUGAGGCAUGCUGUAUAAAGAACAAAGGUAGGCACCCAACAUAUGACGGUGCCUACUUGUUUGAGUUAAAUUGCUACUGCAGCUUGCAGCGACCAGUUCGACAAUUUGUCCACGUUGGUCCUUAUUGUAGAGAACAUAAAGAAUCCAGAUAUAAACGCGGUAGAAAAGUUAUACAUCUUCUGAUGAUAUGCUAUUGUGGAAGUGUUAACAAAUCAUAUAAUAGACUAGACAACUAAAGAAAGAUGUACCACAAAGAAAAAGACAAAUAUGUUUAUUAGAAGAUGAAAAGAUAUAAAGAUUUUGUGAUAUUCAAGAAAUAAUAAUAGGAAACUAAAACAAUUGAUGGUCUUUCUACCUUCGAAAAACUGAGUAUUAGUACAUUUGCCAUACCGCAGUGUAUAAAUCAACUAAUUCGUUUGUUAACAAUAGCUAUUUAUAUUCUUAAAGGGGCACUAGCUACGAGAUAUAAAAAAAUCAAAAGUACGAUUUUUUUUUGUUCAAUCAUUAACGAAAGUGAAAUAGUGAAAUAACAAUUCGCUUUUAGCAGCCAGUAUGGUUCAAUUUUGUCAAAUUAAGCUAAGAAACAUUGAUGAUGAACUAUUCACUUGCAAGUGAACUCAAUUUAACCCCUUAGCUAGGGAUUGAUAACGCAUGAUUUGUGCGUGUUCUGUUAUUUAAAGGAAAAUAAUGUCAACAUUGAAAGUGAAACAAAGGUAAAUCAUUUGAUUGACUGAUUCGAUCCACAAAAAAAAUCAUUCUUAUACAGGUAAAAACGAUGAGUAACAUAUAUUUUUAAUCUAUAAUAUGAAAUUAAACAGACCUAGAAAAAAAAUCUAACUGCACGAGUUCGCUUUCUAUUUACAUCUAUAUUUAUGUUUAUAUCGCUUAUAUGACAUCAGAGGUCUUCGGAGGUUAACUCGAUAGUUAAUUUGAUGGCACCAAAACUACAAUACACACAACAUGAAGCUACAAAUUAUCAAGCCCGUGCCCUGUAAAUUGUUUAUUUUAGAUUUUUUAUAAUUUUGAUAAAUGUUUUACAUGGUUAUAAAUCAAAUAUGGGAAUUUAAGUCAAAUCAGUGAACAUGAAUUUGACAGCUAGUGCCCAUUUAAGAUGAUUACAUGAACUCUUUCUGUUGUAUAAAACAUAACUGUUAAUGUAUCUUGUUCACUAUUUACGGCUUAAUAAAUGAAUGGUGUUUA